CCGUGGAGGUUCUACGUUGAUACUUUGAUACCCUGCCAUUGGGAGUUAUGUAGUGGCACUUUGAUUUAGUUCAUGGUUGUUGAGACGAACAUGAUGUUUGAAAGAAAUUGAUUUACGAAUAAAAAUAAAUUUACACUAAUUUUAUUUGAUUAAUAUUAUAUAUUUUGAAUUGAUAUGCCUUGCAUGCUUGUUUUCAGUAUAUUAUUAUUACUAAAUUUAUUUAACUAAAGUGUACAUUACUUAUUGAGCUGUCUAGCUUAUUAC
rnacentral:lncRNA from 1 species